rnacentral:tRNA from 1 species
UCCUGUGUGGCUCAGUUGGUAGAGCAUGGUGUUUGCAACGCCAGGAUUGUCGGUUCGAUUCCCACGGGGG